AGGGAUGUAGCUCAGUGAUAGAGUGCUUGCUUAGCAUGCAUUCAAUCCUGGAUUCAAUCCCCAGCACUA
rnacentral:tRNA from 1 species